AUACUUGUUAUUUCAUUCAAUCCACCCACAUAGCCUAGGAUAGUGACCCCUUUCUAAGUCCUUCAUGCCAGAUAAGGUAGCCAGUUCAUAGGUUCCAGGGUUUAGGAUAUGGACAUCUUUAGGAGGCCAUGAUUUGUUCUACCACAUCUCACCAAUCCAUCCACCACUGACAAUUGCACUUUUGACUAGCCAGGGGUGAUUUGGUGCAAGCAAAAUAAAUCAAUUCUGCUUAUCUUAAGCAGAAAGGGAAUCAUUGGAAAGACAGCUGAAUAUCAGUAGAAAGGCUGGUGAAAAGGGCAUGAGGAGAUGCAUGUGUGAGCAGGAGCCAGAAUCAGUCUAGGAAGAACCUGGUGAGAACCCUACAGCUGGCAUGUGUGCCUGCCCUGUGUUGUGAAGCCCACUGCUGCUGCUGUCACCAGCCCCUGGAUAUACCUAUAGCUACUGCAUACAUACUGGGUACUAUGUGGUUUCCUGAAGCUGCAUGUUUCCUAUUUACAUUCAAAGUCUGGGAGUUGAGGGAGCUGGCUUCUGACUAGCUAGCCUUAGGUCAUCCGCUUAAGCUAUUUGCCAGCUGAGCAGAGAGGGAGUAUCUGUUUCCCCAAGACUUUUGAAGAGGGAAGCCCUACUUGCCUCUGACCUAUGUUAGAAUGCCCACAAGGAAGUAAGUCCUAGUGUUGGGCAAAAAAAAAAAAAAAAGCAAAUGUUUACCAGACUCUUUGGACUCAGGAAUUAGGACAAGCAAUGCUGGAGAGCAGGGCUGUACUUUUGAAAGAUCUUUGACUACUGAUAGGUGUGGAAGGCUCCCCAUUCUCACACAUUGAGUUUUGCUACACUUCAACAUCAGGCCGUCAUCUAUAUAUGGUCCAUACCACUGAGGGAAAUUUUCUAGCUGAUUGCUGCUUUUUACCUUUUCCUCCUUUUAUUCUUUGCCUUAAUAAUACAACUGCCAUCUGUACAUUUUGUACCCCCUUCUCUCUGAAGAUAAAAAAUGCUCACAGCCUAGGAUUAUAUGAAUGAAGAUAGUCCCUUGGAUAUGUCUCUGCACACCUUGUCAUCCUUAAUAUAUAUAGUUGACAUAAUCCAUUCAUCUACUACAUGAUUCAUUGUUUGAUUUGUUUUUCAAGGUGUGGUAAUGAGUGUGUUGCUGACAUUUCAUUUUCUCUGCCCUGGGCUUCUGGUGCCUACUUGAUAAGUGUGACCACUGUCUGCACAAUAAUGGUGAAUUCCAACCACAGGGCUAAACUGGUCU
rnacentral:lncRNA from 1 species